UACAGAGGGGGCAAGCGUUGUUCGGAAUUACUGGGCGUAAAGAGCGCGCAGGCGGUCGUUCAAGUCGAGUGUGAAAGCCCCCGGCUCAACUGGGGAGGGUCAUUCGAUACUGAUCGACUCGAAGGCAGGAGAGGGUAGUGGAAUUCCCGGUGUAGUGGUGAAAUGCGUAGAGAUCAGGAGGAACACCCGUGGCGAAGGCGGCCCUCUGGCUCGACCCUGACGCUGAGAGGCGAAAGCGUGGGGAGCGAACGGG
rnacentral:rRNA from 1 species